CCACCCCGCUUCCAGAACGUUCGGGCAGAGUCACCCGCACCCCCUGGCUGUGCCUUCCUCCCUCUCACACCACUGGCUAUGACAAAGCUCAGUUUCAAACACAAAACGUUUUCACAGAGAGGAGGAGCCACUGAUUAGGGAGAUAGAAACGCACCAGCUCGGUUCGGCAGGGCAGAGGGGCCGAGCCCCGGAGCGGCGGCAGCCUCUGUCUGCCGCGCACAGGGCUCGCAGCCGACCCCAAAUCAAGUACAGGGACCCUUCAGCAGCCUCCAGAGAACUGGAUUUGGGCGGGAUUUUCUUUUUUUUCUUUCCAGCUUGGGCUUUCCCCCCCGCCUCGGGCUGGAGUGGGGAGAGGGGGGGAGUGGGAGGGGAGCAUGGUUUGUUUUGUCGUUUGUUUGUUGUUGAGACACCGAAUCAUAAUGUACUCAAUCAUAAUUCUCCGGUGACUGCCACUACGGAAAAAGCCAAAAUGUCUGCCUGCUUUUUCCACGUUUUGCCGGUGAUGGUAGAAACGCCUAAAAGCUAUUAUGUUCUCAGAGCCAGUUCUCUUCCUCAAACAGGUUAUACUGAAAGCGGAAAUUCCGAGAAAGGACUCAACGUGUUGGCAUUUAGACUAGCUUUCACAGUCCUAGCACCAAGUUCAACUACAGCCAGGAAAUACUAUGAGCUACCCACUGUUUAGGUUCAGAACCCAUGAAGAGCUGAACAAGACACAAGACACAGAACAAGAAGACUAUAUAGACAGUCAUGAACAAAAAUGCCUUCUUUCUUCUCUUCUGCUGUCCAACUCCCCGGUGAAAAAGUUGAGCAUUACUCUUCUUCUAUUUUCAUCUCCCAGGACACAAACAGUACCUACUAAUGAGUUUUAAGGAUGACAGCUAGGUCACCAACCGGUACCACACAGCAGAAUACAUGAGGCCAUGUGAAACCAUUAACACUUCGAAACGCAGAUUUCAAUGAAGUUGUGCAAAAGAAAUAACAAUAGACCUCAAAACUUCCACCUUCUGAUUUGUAGUAAUCCCAGAAAAUUUGUAGUAUUAUUCUUGAGUAGCAAGUAAGCGCUAGCUGCAAAACAGUUAACAUUUAUGUAAUCGUUGUUUUUCUAAUGUAUUUAUAUAGGCAUUGUAAUUAUCUACCAUUGGAAAAGUUGCACAUUGGAAACACGAUAAUCCAAUCUAAUUGCUUGGUUACAAAAAUUUAAUAAAGUUUGUAAAGAGUUUAUUUAAUUUUUCACUUAAAGUAUGAGGAAAGCAUUUGACAAAGGGACACCACAGAAUGAGUGCUCUUCUGGUCUGCUAAGAAAUUAAGCCAAAACAAAGUAAUUUUAGUAGCAGGACAAAUAUGAUAUUUGACCUGUCCUAUCUCAUCUAAUGUAUUCUGUAACUGAGACAAGAUGGAGGUCUGUGAAUUCAUUCAGUGUGAAACAAAGAGAAAACAAAGAAAGCACAAACAAAAAAAAAACCUAAUGACAACUGAACUCCAAAAACCAAACCACAAACAAAAAGUCAACCAAAAACCAAAACCCACUACAAUUGACCAAAAAAAAAAAAAAAAAAGACAACAGCAUUGCAACUUAUUUUACAUAGCUUAGAAUUAGUUUUAAGUAUGCCUAACCAAGGUUUUAAAUUGCUCUUCAGCAGAGUAGAGCUGGUGCUCACCUCUAAGGUCUGGAGCACGUGAUGAUAACAGUUCUGUUCAUUUGCACACAGUCAAGCUGAAGUGCUACACUGAAGAGCACUUUUUCAGCCAUUCUGAAACUGCUCUGUCUCAGCUGUACUGAAAAUAAGACUAAAAUGGCUGCAGCAUUCACUCAAGCCAAAUCAGAGACAACUCAGCAAGAGGUAAAACAUUUACACAGCCAAGCACCUCUGUCUUUACCACACUGCAACAAACUGCAGAGGUGGAAGGGGUGCGUACAUGUGAGCAGAGGAGUGGUUUCUUUGACAGGCAGGAAGUGGUUAAUGCACAGCUACAGCACUGCAGCUUCCUAGCACCACUGGUAAAGAGAAAAUCAAACCAAACCAAAAAGGAGCAAGAGGCAGCCCUGCUAGGCUUGUGAUCCAGGUUUGUGUAACAUGCUUCAAAUCUCUCACAAGUGCAAGGCAGUUCAGAAUUCUUGAAUUCAUGUCACAUAUUAACAGUCACGGAUCCAGAGCUGGAUCACGCGCAGAGCUGACAAACAGUAAGGAAUACUUUUCAAGAGCAGGCUCACUUCAAUGCUUCUAAAAAAAAAAGGCAAAACAAACCAAAACAACCCACUUAAGAGAUUAACCUACAGCUUUGUACUGCUCCAUCUAUUUUGAAAUAGCCUUUAAUAUUAGUUGCCCAAUAUAAAUUUUACUUGGGGAGGAAAAAAGGAUGUUCACUUUACAAGAAAGCUAGCAAAAUCCCAAGAACAUUCCAGAACUUCAUCCCUUGAAGAAAUCUAACUCUUUAUGACUUCAAUGCAGCUUGUUGUCUAAGUUUUUCAAAGAAGGGCUGUAUCUGGAAUCACUUAAGGAAUUUUGAUGGAAUCUUGUAACAGAGCAGUUCCUGAAGACUUGGUGUGAGAACCUAUGGUAGGGAGAAGGGGGUUGUUAACCAAAGACACAAGUUUAACACAAAAUUAAAUUAAUAGAGGUUUCGCUCUCUUGUCUGUUCAUUGUAAUAAAAAUAGUAAUAUUAGUUAUUAAUGGUAAUAACCAAUCACGUACUCUCAUAAAGGCAAUGCUGGAUCAGUUCUGGAGUGUGCUCCUCUAUAUCUGCCUCACUUCUUUCUACAUAAUCCAAAUUUAUCUAUUUCAAAACAAAAUACUUGCAAGAGUCCAUGGGGCAAUUCUAAAGAAAAUUAGUGUUGAAUUAUAUCUAGCCUUCUAACAAAAAAUACUCUUUGCAAUCCAAAAUUAGCACAAUAUAGUAAGUCACUUCUCUCUAAAAAGCAGAAGAACAUGCCCUCCAACCACUCAAAUUAUGAAAUGGUCUAGACUCAUCUAACUGUGCAUGUCUGUUGCCAGCUGUAGCUAGUUAUUUCUGGAUUGAUUAAUCAUGCUAGCAGUAGUUGUCUGAUGCACUCAUCAGCACUACAGUCAGUAUCUCUAACUUAAAAAAUGGUGAAAUACACCAUCCGGCUUUUCCUUUUGUCCUUGUAUUACCAUGACCUGCUGUACAAGGAAGGGCACAUGCUACACAGGAGAGAGCUCCACUGAUUGUCUCUGAUAGUACUACCGUACAGAUUCAGAAAACUACAUUAAAAUACACUUGAAGUUCAAAAAACAUAUUUCUUAAAAAACAAACUCAUGAACGUCAGAGAACAAAUUCAUUACAGAUAAUUUAAAACUAUCCAUUACAAUGAAGCUUUUUUCACCAACACCUUGUACUAAAGUAAAAAUCAAAUCUACAGCCAAUUCAAAAGAAAAAUUUGAUAUUAUCUUGAUUAUAUACCCCAUGUUGCUUACUCUGAACACCAUAUGUACCACACUAGUUGGUGAAAAUUUACAAUAACUUGUAAGAUUUCAAAAUUAAAACUUAAAUAUUUUAUUUGUAUAACAAAUAUACAUAUACUUUGAUUCCCCCAGUAGCAAUGUUUUAAACAAAAUUCUGUGUUUAGUGUAUCUACAAAAUUUGUACAUCAAAAGGGUGAAUUGUGACUCCAAGUCUUAAAAUUCCAAGAAUAUCACAAAAACCACAGGGACGUUCUAACCCAGAAUCCAAAAGUUGCACUUGUACAACACUGUGUUUUAUGUAACGUGGCGUCUUGGAGCUUGACAUAUGGAUGACAAUGACUUAAAUAGGUUUGAACAGGCAAAACAACAAGUUUGCAAAAAAAUUUCACAGAACACUUUCCCUGAGCCAGAGAAAACAAAAUCCAUGUCACAGUCUUGUUGCUACAAAUGUCUUGCCUUGUCAGAAAGCUUCAGCAACAUGCAGAGGCACUAAUACAUUAACACAGACACAUGGAUGCCAAAAAUCUUACUGAAUAGUAAGAAAUAAUAUGCGUUAGCUUAAAUGUCCAGUUCAAUAUACCUCCAUUAGCACACAAAAGCAUGUUAAUAAGUGUGCUAAAAGUUAUUAAUCAAACUAAUUUUAAAAUAAAACCUGAAGUUUAAAUAAACACAGACUUACGAAUAGAUUAAGUUCUCUGAAACUGCUUUGGCCCAGGAAAUGUUAGACUCAACCUCCACUAACGUGUAAUUCUGUACUAGCACGAGACUACAGUUUUUUUCAUUGCUACCUAGCAUGGCAUUUAUACAGAUUCUUUAGUCAAAAUCUCAAGAAAAUAAAGCAUUUUUUUAACACUAGAGAACAAAACAUAAACAUGUUACGAUAAGAACUGCAAACAACCUUUAAUCCUGCCCUCUUUUGAUAACAUGCCAAAACACUCCAAUAUCAUCUCAGUAAGUUCAACUACCAUAGCCAUAAAUUAAAACAGGGCUUCCAUUUUCCCAGUUUCUCAUGAACAUCAAACAAGAACCACAAGAGAAUGGCAUCCUCUUGUUUCUCUAGGUAUUGCCCUGUGUAAGUAACAUCACCUUCCCACGUCUCUUAAG